ACAGUGCUACUUUCUGUCCUUCGGUAGUAGCCUUUUCCUUCUUCUGAGCAGCCUGCCCCAAGGCUUUCAUUGGAGAUGACAUUAGCUGAGGGCCAUCACAGCAGCAGUUUCAGUAAAAUGGGUCAGUGCCAAAAGCAGAGAGGGGCCACCCCGGCCCCACACCCACCAGACUGGUGUUGAAAAAUCUGGGCAAAACACUGAUGGAAGGGAAGCGGGGGCCUGUUAGAUCAAAAA